UCCUGAUUAGCUCAGCUGGGAGAGCACCUCCCUUACAAGGAGGGGGUCGGCGGUUCGAUCCCGUCAUCACCCACCA
rnacentral:tRNA from 1 species